UACGUAGGGGGCAAGCGUUGUCCGGAUUCAUUGGGCGUAAAGAGCGUGUAGGCGGCCAGGUAGGUCGGUUGUGAAAACUGGAGGCUCAACCUUCAGAGGUCGACCGAAACCAUCUGGCUAGAGUACGGUAGAGGGGAUGGAAUUCCGCGUGUAGCAGUGAAAUGCGUAGAUAUGCGGAGGAACACCGAUGGCGAAGGCAAUCCCCUGGACCUGUACUGACGCUCAUGCACGAAAGCGUGGGGAGCAAACGAGG
rnacentral:rRNA from 1 species